rnacentral:rRNA from 1 species
AUGGGGACUUGUAUCAACGGCAUCACGAGGGCCAUACUGUCUCCUUUUUCCAAUCAGUGAAACUGAUCUUCCCGUGAAGAAGCGGGAAUUAACCUAUAAGACGAGAAGACCCCAUGGAGCUUUAAACCCAACAACAAGUCUAAAUAAACAUACCCUAAAAAUUAGUGACACCUGAACUGUUGGUUUUAGGUUGGGGUGACCGCGGAGUAUAAAUUAACCUCCACGACGAACGGGACUAAACCCUUAUCUACGAGCCACCGCUCUAAGAAUCAGCACACUGACUUCUAAUGAUCCGAUAUUCGAUCAACGAACCAAGUUACCCUGGGGAUAACAGCGCUAUCCAUUUCAAGAGCUCCUAUCGACAAAUGGGUUUACGACCUCGAUGUUGGAUCAGGGUAUCCUAGUGGUGCAGCCGCUACUAAAGGUUUGUUUGUUCAACAAUUAAAACCC